rnacentral:rRNA from 1 species
UACGGAGGAUGCAAGCGUUAUCCGGAAUGAUUGGGCGUAAAGAGUCCGUAGGUGGUUAUUCAAGUCGAUUGUUAAAGAGCGGGGCUUAACCCCGUAGAAGCAGUGGAAACUGAAUAACUAGAGAGAGGUAGGGGUAGAGGGAAUUCCCGGUGUAGCGGUGAAAUGCGUAGAGAUCGGGAAGAACACCAGUGGCGAAAGCGCUCUACUGGACCGCAACUGACACUCAGGGACGAAAGCUAGGGGAGCGAAUGGG